CAAACAAAUACUUACAUACAGGCAUUAAAGGAGAUUAUGUCUUUGUACCUUACUCAGGGUCUACACCCUAUACAGGGUCAUACCAUAUUACUAUACCCUGCACAGGGUCAUACUAUAUUACUAUACCCUACAGGAAUCACCCGAUCACCGCGCCCUGCAUCUGGAUUAACCCCUUCAGGGGUCCCCCUCUCUGGGCACAUUCAUUUAUUG